rnacentral:rRNA from 1 species
CUUCGGGUUGUAAAGCUCUUUCAGCCGGGAAGAAAACGCAUGGGUUAAUACCCUGUGUGGAUGACGGUACCGGAAUAAGAAGCACCGGCUAACUACGUGCCAGCAGCCGCGGUAAUACGUAGGGUGCGAGCGUUAAUCGGAAUUACUGGGCGUAAAGCGUGCGCAGGCGGUUUGUUAAGAUAGGCGUGAAAUCCCCGGGCUCAACCUGGGAACUGCGUUUAUGACUGGCAGGCUAGAGUAUGGCAGAGGGGGUGGAAUUCCACGUGUAGCAGUGAAAUGCGUAGAGAUGUGGAGGAACACCGAUGGCGAAGGCAGCCCCCUGGGCCAAUACUGACGCUCAUGCACGAAAGCGUGGGUAGCAAACAGGAUUAGAUACCCUGGUAGUCCACGCCCUAAACGAUGUCAACUAGGUGUUGGGAGGGUAAAACCUUUUAGUACCGGAGCUAACGCGUGAAGUUGACCGCCUGGGGAGUACGGCCGCAAGGUUAAAACUCAAAGGAAUUGACGGGG